UACGAAGGGGGCUAGCGUUGUUCGGAAUUACUGGGCGUAAAGGGCGCGUAGGCGGUGUGUCAAGUCAGGCGUGAAAGCCCCGGGCUCAACCUGGGAACCGCGCUUGAGACUGGCACGCUCGAGUUCGGGAGAGGAUGGUGGAAUUCCCAGUGUAGAGGUGAAAUUCGUAGAUAUUGGGAAGAACACCGAUGGCGAAGGCAGCCAUCUGGACCGACACUGACGCUGAGGCGCGAAGGCGUGGGGGAGCGAACGGG
rnacentral:rRNA from 1 species